AUUUAAAAUAGCCAAAGGUUCCAAAUAAAGCCAAUUCACUUCAAUUAGAAGGUAAGUUCAAUCUUUUCAUCACCCAUAUAUUGUUUAAUUCCAUUUGCCUCACCCCACUGUAGACUAGUUACUUAAUAAAGAUUAGCUUGUUAUGUACAUGAUGUAUUGAUACUUUUAGGCCAAGAUCGACCACACCUAGAUAACACGCUAAAUUAAAAUGGAAAACCAAAAUCAUGUAAAACCAAUCAUAUUCACAGAUAAAUCAGGAAAUGAAUUUAAAACAAUAGAACUAGACGGGGUGCCGAUCCCGGCAUUUCCAGAAGAGAGGUUAGGAAAGUCACAUAGUGAACAUUUCAGGAAGCUUAAGGAAAUGAACAUACGAGACGAUGAUGUUAUUAUAUGUGCUUAUCCCAAAGCAGGAACUCAUUGGAUCUGGGAAGUGAGUCAGAUGUUGAAAGGCCAAACAACAGAAUAUCAUAAACAUAUUAAAGAGCAGCACAUGUUCGAAUCUACGAAUAUUGAUAGUUUUGACACUGAACCCUCACCACGUGUUCUUAAUUCACAUUUAUGGCCACGACAUUUACCUAAACAAAUGUUUGAAAAGAAAACGAAAAUAAUUUACCUCAUUCGUAAUCCCAAAGACACGGUAGUUUCCAUGUUCUUUCAGUAUAAUGCAGGAGAAAAGACAUUUGGUUACCAUGGCAAUUUAAAUGAUUUUAUAGAUCUUUACGUCAAUAAAGGAUUACCAUAUGGUCUGUGGUAUGAGUAUGUUCUUGAAUGGGAAAAGUUCUUUAAAACAACUGAAAAUCCAUUUUAUCAGUUAUCUUAUGAGGACAUGCAGCAGAAUCCUGUACAUCAUGUAAAAGGUUUGGCUAAUUUUCUAGAAACUGAUAUCUCUGAUGAAUUAUGUGAAGCUAUAGUAGAUGCCUGUUCCUUUAAUAAACUAAAAAAAGCCAAUGAUGAAGUAAAAGACGAUUAUAUAAAACCUUCUUUGAAAGAAGGAACUUCAUUUUACAGAAAAGGUAAAGUUGGUGAUUGGAAGAAUUGGUUAACUGUAGCUGAAAGUGAAAAUAUUGAUCGAAUGACAGCUGAGAGAAUGAAAGACAGUCAAAUUAAAUUUAAAUAUACAAUUUAAAUAAACAAACCCAAAACACAGGAUGAUAAAUCUACAUUUAUAUACAAUGAUUGAUAAUAGACGAGAUGUAGAAUUCAAAGAUAAAGAAGAAAUUGUCAUUUGAGAUUAAAGCAAGUUCAACUUGUAUUAGAGCCCAUUUCUAGCUGUGUAGGACACCCUACAGUUAGUGCCUGUUGUGAAUUAUAAGGGUUAUUUAAAAUAGCCAAAGGUUCCCAAUAAAGCCAAUUCACUUAAAUUAGAAGGCCAAGAUCGACCACAACUAGAUAACACGCUAAAUUAAAAUGGAAAACCAAGAUCAUGUAAAACCAAUCAUAAUCACAGAUAAAUCAGGAAAUGAAUUUAAAACGAUAGAACUAGAUGGGGUACCGAUACCGGAAUUUCCAAAAGAAAGGUUAGGAAAGUCAUAUGGUGAACAUUUCAGGAAGCUGAAGGAAAUGACCAUAAGAGACGAUGAUGUCAUUAUAUGUGCUUAUCCCAAAGCAGGAACUCAUUGGAUCUGGGAAGUGAGUCAGAUGUUGAAACGCCAAACAACAGAAUACCAUAAACAUAUUAAAGAGCAGCACAUGUUCGAAAGUACGAAUAUUGAUAGUUUUGACGCAGAACCCUCACCACGUGUUCUU